rnacentral:misc_RNA from 1 species
GAUGAAGAACGCAGCGAAAUGCGAUAAGUAGUGUGAAUUGCAGAAUUCCGUGAAUCAUCGAAUCUUUGAACGCACAUUGCGCCUUCUGGUAUUCCGGAAGGCAUGCCUAUUCGAGAGUCAUUAACAACCGUUUCGAUCCCUUUCUUUCAGAAAUUACAAAGAGGAAAAGGGUUUGGUUAUGGUGGAGGAGGGAAAGGGAGCGUUUAGCCUGUAAAAAAAGAGGCUGUGUUCCGCCUCCCCCCCAAAAUUGUACAGGCGGUCGUGUGCGCCCACGCAUCGAGGUGUUGUAAAAGCUGCCACGGCACUUUUCACCUGUGCAGUGCGAGAUUGGCCAGCCGGUUUAAAAACCCCUCCAAACAAUCAAAGGUUGACCUCGGAUCAGGUAGGGAUACCCGCUGAACUUAAGCAUAUCAAUAAGCGGAGGA